rnacentral:rRNA from 1 species
CAGCACCCUCAAGCAAAGAGACCUUUAGUUUGAAACCCCGAAACCAGGUGAGCUACCCCGAGACAGCCUAUAUUAUUUAGGGCUAACCCGUCUCUGUGGCAAAAGAGUGGGAAGAGCUCCGGGUAGAAGUGACAGACCUACCGAACCUGGUGAUAGCUGGUUGUCUGAGAAGUGGAUAGAAGUUCAGCCUCAUUCGCCCCAAAUCAAGAUGUAUAUUAUUAAGAUACUAUGGGAAAUAUAUGAGAGUUAGUUGAAAGGGGUACAGCCCUUUUAACAAAGGAUACAACCUUUUACAGGAGGAUAAAGAUCAUAGUAUAUAAAACAUACUGUUUUAGUGG